AUUGAACGCUGGCGGCAUGCUUUACACAUGCAAGUCGAGCGGCAGCGCGGGGGGCAACCCUGGCGGCGAGCGGCGAACGGGUGAGUAAUGCAUCGGAACGUAUCCUGUAGUGGGGAAUAACUCACCGAAAGGUGAGCUAAUACCGCAUAAGCUCUGAGGAGGAAAGCGGGGGGACCGAAAGGCCUCGCGCUGCAGGAGCGGCCGAUGUCCGAUUAGCUAGUUGGUGAGGUAAAGGCUCACCAAGGCGACGAUCGGUAGCUGGUCUGAGAGGAUGAUCAGCCACACUGGGACUGAGACACGGCCCAGACUCCUACGGGAGGCAGCAGUGGGGAAUUUUGGACAAUGGGGGAAACCCUGAUCCAGCCAUGCCGCGUGAGUGAAGAAGGCCUUCGGGUUGUAAGCUCUUCGGACGGAACGAAUUAGCUUGGACGUAAUACUCUGAGUAGAUGACGGUACCGUAAGAAGAAG
rnacentral:rRNA from 1 species